rnacentral:misc_RNA from 1 species
GUGAAUCAUCAAAUUUUUGAACGCAAAUUGCACUCUCUGGUAUGCCGGAGAGUAUGCCUGUUUGAGGGUCAGUAUAAUCAAAAUCGGAGCUGUUCCGUUGGGGUGAAGGACCGGAGUUGGGGUCAUCUUAACUCUUUAAGAGACCUAACAUCAACAUUCUUUUUUUGCUCAUUUUUAAACGUACAUAAUUUUUAUUAUUUGACUAGCUUGGUGG